AAGUCGUAACAAGGUUUCCGUAGGUGAACCUGCGGAAGGAUCAUUAACACUUUGUUAUACCCAAUACCAACCCAAUGUGAACUGUAUCGUCCCUAUUCACGGCAAGUGAGCGAUUGGCUUCGGUCGAUUGCAAACGAGUCGUGCGAUAGACAAUACCCUCCUAGUAGUCAUCAGACGACUAGCACUCCGGUGUGAGUUGUCUUGGUGAUGAACGUAUUCACCACAUUAACCCUAUAACUUUAAACCUGACUAAUCUUCAUAAACUUAUCGACUGCCUCACGGCGGUUAGUAAGCUUUACGAAAUAUUGAACAACUCUUAGCAAUGGAUAUCUUGGGUCAU
rnacentral:misc_RNA from 1 species